rnacentral:rRNA from 1 species
CCUACGGGUGGCAGCAGUGAGGAAUAUUGGUCAAUGGGCGUAAGCCUGAACCAGCCAAGUCGCGUGAGGGAUGAAGGUUCUAUGGAUCGUAAACCUCUUUUAUAAGGGAAUAAAGUGCGGGACGUGUCCCGUUUUGUAUGUACCUUAUGAAUAAGGAUCGGCUAACUCCGUGCCAGCAGCCGCGGUAAUACGGAGGAUCCGAGCGUUAUCCGGAUUUAUUGGGUUUAAAGGGUGCGUAGGCGGCCUUUUAAGUCAGCGGUGAAAGUCUGUGGCUCAACCAGAGAAUUGCCGUUGAAACUGGCUGUCUUGAGAUGUCGAGAGGUAUGCGGAAUGCGCAGUGUAGCGGUGAAAUGCUUAGAUAUUGCGCAGAACUCCGAUUGCGAAGGCAGCAUACCGGCGGCGAUCUGACGCUGAGGCACGAAAGCGUGGGUAUCGAACAGGAUUAGAUACCCCUGUAGUC